UUAUUGUAUGAAAGGAGAGAAGGUUAGCACUCCCCUUGACAAGGAUGGAAGAGGUACUAGUGGCCUUCAACACACAAAUGGCUAAGGCAUUGCCACCUACUUUGUGGCUUCUCUAAGUUUUUAG
rnacentral:ncRNA from 1 species